rnacentral:lncRNA from 1 species
CGCCCGGCCCCGCCCCUCGCUCCCCCUCCUCUGUGGUUCCUGCCGAGCCGGCUGCGGCGGCGAGAACCGGAGACCCCGAGCUGCGGCGUCAGAGGCACACAGGCCUUUGUGCUCCCGCAGGUGGCACCCGAGGCCCCAGUUGGGUGCGGGUGGAAAAGAGGUCCCUCGAUCACUGGAGGUCACACCCAUGGAUGAAGGAGGGGUUCCUGCUGAAACCCUGCCCCACCAUCUCCAGCCCCGUCAGUCAUUAAAGGUCUCACCUCUGCUGCUACCGUCACCAUCGGCCUUGGGCAGAUCAAGCUUUACCAUCGUCUCCAUUUAGAGAGGAGAAAACCCCUUAGAAAGGUGGGGCCACCCCAUCACCGUCACCGCCCUUGUGCACGCGGAAGCCUGUCUUACAGACUCUGAGGAUUAGGACCAGGGACCAGCCGUCUGCAUCUAUCAAGGUUAUGCAGUUUUUCUUAAAAGAGAUCAUUCUACUAGGAAUCUGACUUCAGACAUCCUCUUGUCCUGGAGUCAAGAGAACGAAUCAAGGAAGGAAAAGGGGCUGAAAGAGAACGAGAAGAGGAAAUGUGAGUGUGGCGAGCGGAAGAAGAAGAGCCAACGGCAGAUAAGCGCACUUCAAGGGAACCAGAAACCCCGAGGAGAGCGCUGGUGUGGCCGCUGGCGCACGCGGCCGUGCAGGGACAGAGAUGAUGGUUAAGGUCCUGCUGGCAGGUGAAGGCUGUCCCGACAACAUGCCCAGGAAGUGGAGACCCGGUCCGUGGACGGCCCUGAGUUUGCUAGGCUGAGCCCUCCACUGGCUCCGGAAUUUGGAGGAGAGGGCUGGAGGUGCUCACAGGGCCGCCACGUGCCUGACCCCAGGAGGUGCAGGUCACACCGUGUUCUUUGUGAAAGGUAUCCCUGCAGGGGCUCCACAUGCUCGUCUUGCAGGACCCAGUCCUGCCCUCCCGACCCUCUCAAGGUGAACAGGAGCACCUCAGCUAGUCCAAGUGAUGAGACAGUGUGGGGAGGCCUGACUGACCCCCCCCUCCAUACCUCCCCCCCGAAUUCAGGCCUCCUGGGACAAGCAUGAAGGGGACAGAGGCUCCAUCUCACACGGCAGGGGCAGGACCGCUUACUCGGCCCAGCUCUGCAUCCCUGCGGGCGCUUAGUAGUCCCCGCAUCAAGCAGGCCACCCUGCAGGGUCCAAACCCGGCUGGAGCUGCCCGACCCCUGGGGUCCCUCACGGCACCGGUUCUCAGGCUGAGGUUCUAGAGACUUUCCAUAGACACAAAAAAAUCAAACAGAACACCACAAUUUGAAGGAAAUUCAAUGCAAUGCUAACUUGUGAUAUGUUAAAGAAUGAAGAUUAUAAAUUACUUACAUUUCCUUUAUUUUCCAAUUUUGUUAAU